GUGACCGUUGUUGCGGUUACAGCAUACGUUACACUCCUCACAUCACCAUUGCUAUAUUCUUCCACCUGUUUGGUUGCUAUUGGGCUACACAGUUCUUCAUUGCAUCUUCCGCGACAGUGAUUGCUGGCUCUGUUGCCUCCUAUUAUUGGGCUCAAGGGGAAGCAUCGGUAAGCUAACAAUUCUGAGCAAGUAUAUGAAACUGUCAAUUAUUAUUAUGUAUUGAUUGGGGUUUUAUGGUUGAACAAUGCAGCCAGAGAUACCGUUUCUUCCUGUUUUUGCCUCAAUGAAGCGGCUUGCACGCUACAACCUAGGAUCUGUGGCUCUUGGUUCACUCAUUGUCUCUUUUGUUGAGUCUGUUCGGGUCAUUCUCGAAGCAAUUCGUCGUAGAACAAAAGUAAGCGGGACCACACCUGAUCACUGGUUUUGGAGAAUGGCUCAUUACACUUCACGUGGUUGUCUCAAAAGCGUGGAGUGGACCAUCAAAUCGGUUAACCGUAAUGCCUACAUAAUGGUAACAGAAAAUCUCCUUCGUUCAGCAAAACAAGCCCAUUUCUUUGAACAAAAAUCUUGAUAGUUUACUCUGUCUCUCGGUGUUUUUUCAGAUUGCUAUAACAGGGAAAAGCUUCUGCAAAUCGUCUGCAAUAGCGACAGAGCUGAUCAUAAGCAACAUUCUGAGGAUAGGGAAAGUUAAUGUGAUAGGAGAUGUAAUACUGUUUCUAGGAAAGCUUUGUGUGAGUCUCUUCAGUGCUCUCUUUGGCUUCUUGAUGUUGGAUUCGCACAGAUAUCGGUCUUCUCACAACAAAGUCUCAUCCCCGCUAUUACCUGUUUUGGUAAAAUCAUUUUCCUUGCUCUCUAGACUCAAUUGUAAAUACAAAGACAGAUGUUUGUUUUGAGCUUAAAUAGGUUUGCUUGGGACUGUCUCUAUGCACAGGCAUGUUGGGCAUUGGGGUAUAUUGUGGCAACACUUUUCUUUGCGGUGGUUGAGAUGUCGAUAGACACAAUCAUUCUCUCCUUCUGUCAAGACUCAGAGGAGAAUCAAGGGAAUGCUCAGCACGCGCCACCACUUCUGCUUGAAACUUUAGAUAGCAAUCAGGAGGAAGAGGUUCAGAGACUUACCCACUGAUAGAUCCAUAUACGUACUGUAUAAGUUUUGUUUCUUCUUUGGUUGGCCGGUUUAUAUGGUUUUUUAAAAAUAGAAUAUUUUCUCUCUAAAACAUUCUAAGCAGAUUGUAAUGUCAGAUGGCUUGAUCAUCUUCGAUUCUGAAACCAAAAAUCAUAUUUCCGUAAAAUGCAUCUUUGUUUGGUUACAUAACAAAUCAUAAUGCUUCAAACGGUGCAGUCAAUUUCCAAAAAUGUAUAUAUAGAUUUAUUUUUUUCCACAAGUUUAACAGUUCAAUUUUGACAAAACCGGGAAGCCGAAAAGCUCGGAGGACACUAAUAAAAGAAAACGGAGCCCAUUGGACCAUCGAACUCAGGAGAGUGUAUAAUCUCCGACAUGGCACCGAAUGUAAGAUCGGUCAUCGCGCAGGUACAUCGGAGAUCUGAUUAUGAUCAUCAAUUUUUUUUUUUCUCUCCCUUUCUUUACGCGUUUGGAUCUCGCCGCGAUUUCUAAAAUCUCUUUCUUCUUCGAUUGGGUAUUGACGUCAGGUACAUCAAAAAUCGAGAGCGAUGGGGUCUCGCCGCAAUUUCUGUUCACAUCCAGAUCAUCCAGGUACCAAUAACUUCAGAUUCCAGACCGUUGGUGUCCGUGUAUAUGUAUUCGGAUAAAAAUCAUUUUAUUUUAUAUUUUGUCACUUGUAAUUGUAGCUCUGAACAGAUUCACUGGAACGAGGCUUUGGCCGUGGUUGUUAACUCAUGGUCUAGGAUUAGCUGCGGGAUAUGGCUUAGGUAUGGACAGAGAAAUUUACAGAUUUUUUUCCCUUAAUUUUUCAUCCACGAGUCAAAUUAUUGUGAGAGAUUUUUGCUCGUAAUUGAAAAGUUGAAUUAAUCAGCUUGUAUUUUAUUUUAUAUUUUUGUAUCAAGGUCAUUAUCUGUCAGCCUAUGUUAUAUCGGAACUUAAGGAGAAGCGGCAAAAGGUAAAAACAAAAUCGAGAAGCACUUGAAUGACACUCUGACCAUUUGUUAUUGUUUCAUCUUCAUCAUUCCAUCUUGUGUUUUCAGGCACUUAAGGAGAAUGAGGAAUACUUCCAGCGAAGAGAAAAGCGCUGGUUAGAUUUGGCAGCGUCUGAUCCUAGAUUCUAAUUAUCUUGAUGCAAGCUUUUAUGUGGUUAUUGUGGUCUUGCCUAGUGAUCAGACAAUAAAUUAAGGAAUUACUUUUGUAUCCGGUGAUUGUGAAGUAGCCUAGUGAUCAGACACUAAAUUUAAGAAUUAGUUACGUUUGCUAUAGUGUGUGUAAAACUUGUCGCACAUGGUAUAUGUUAUUGCAAUCUCUCAUGUCGUGAGUUCUGUGUCCUGUGGUCUCUGUCUAAACUGAAUUUUUUUCUUUGCGACUUGUGUGUAGAAAGGUUAACCUUCUGUACCUUGGUUGAGACUGAGGAUUGCAUAGGUAGUAACACAUACAUGUUCUUAGAAAUACCCAAUUCUUUCAGCGAACUUUGCCUUGACUCUUAAUCUUCCUUGCAUUCAUGUAUUGGGCAUCCAUCUUUUCUAUCAUUUUGAACACUAUUGUUUCUCUUCCCAUUUCAUCUACGGAAACACUUGUCCAGUUCUGACUGCUCGAUUAAUAAUAAGACUUAUAAAUAGCCUUUUAAUCAAGACUCCAUCGCCUCUACUCGUCCACUUGAGUUUCUCUUUUUAAGCAAUGUACAAGACUUUGAUGAAGUAGCAUUCGGCGAAUACUGUUCGAAUAUAAAAAAAGAAGACUCUUGUUUGAUCAAUGGCAGAAGUUGAGCCCAACUACAAGAGAAAAAAGUCGUGUGUUCUAUUGAGAUAAUAUCAUAUAAUAUUAGGAUAAAGUCUAGUUCCUAUAGUUUAGGAUCUUAUGUUUAUCUCUUGUUGAGAUCAUCUUGUAUAAAUACCAUAGUUUGAGAAUCAAUAAUAUAGUUCUUUACCUAAUUUUACAUGGUAUCAGAGUUAAGCUAUUCGGUACAUGUUUUAUCUCAAUUCAUGCAAGCUCCUCGGGAGGCUCAUUUGGAUGCUAUAAUGAGUAUUGUUCGGUUUUUGAAAGGCUCGCCAGGUUAAGGCAUCUUGCUGAAAGCAGACCAAGAUUUACAGCUCGAAGUUUAUUGUGAUUCUGAUUUUCAAACAUGUCCUUUAACUCGACGGUCUACGGUGAUUCGCCUAUUUCUUGGAAAACGAAGAAGCAAGAUACAGUCUCUCACUCUUCCGCAGAAGCCGAAUAUAGAGCUAUGUCUGUUGCUCUUCAGGAAAUUAAAUGGCUACGAAAGUUGUUGAAAGAAUUAGGCAUUGAACAGUCUGCGCCGGCCCGUUUAUUUUGUGAUAACAAAGCUGCUCUUCAUAUCGCUGCUAAUCCAGUGUUCCAUGAGCGUACCAAGCACAUUGAGUCUGAUUGUCAUUCUGUUUGUGAUGCGGUCCGUGACGUCAUUAUCACCACACAUCAUGUUCGUACUACUGAACAGUUAGCGGAUAUAUUUACUAAGGCACUCGAUUGUUCUCAGUUCCUUUAUCUUAUGUCCAAGUUGGGUGUUCAGAACCUUCACACUCCAACGUGAGGGGGAGUCUUGAGAUAAUAUCAUAUAUUAUUAGGAUAAAUUCUAGUUCCUAUAGUUAGGAUUUUAUGUUUAUCUCUUGUUGAGAUCAUCUUGUAUAAAUACCAUAUAUAGUUUGGGAAUCAAUAAUAUCAAGUUAGUUCUUUACCUAAUUCUACAUGUUCAAUAGAAAAAAUCGAGCACGACUUCAGAAAAAAGAAAGUCGUGUUAGAUCAAUGGCAAAAGUCGAGCACUAUUUCAAGAGAAAAAAUGUCACUUGUAUAGAGAAGAUGCUUGAUUGAAUGAGUAAUCUAUAUAUACAUUUUUGGAUGACUUUUAGCAAAUAAAUCCUAGGGUUAGGUAGUAUUUACAAAGAAUGCCAUUGGCAUUUAUUAUUAAUUUUACAAAAUUUAAAUAAAAGAUAUUAACCAAACAAUAUCUUGCCUAAUUUGUUUCUAAAAAUAUUUACACAAUCUUUCUAUAUAUCUUCAAAAAAAUUUAUAGCAAAUAUUUAUAUUAACAUUUUGCAUAGCAAUAAAAAUACUAUUUUAUAAUAAUCAAAAUAUUCACAUAGAAAAAUCAAAUACACAUACAGGAAAAGAACUAUAUCUAUCAUCAUUUAAGCCGUUGUUUUAUUUAAAUAAAAAAAAACACAAAAAACUUGAAAUCAUAUACUUUAUAUGAUAAAUUUAAAAUAUAUAUUAGUAGUAUAAAUUUAAAAUCGUUCAAAUAACGGUAUACUACGGGUGAGAUCCUAAAAUUAUUAGAUUUUAUAACAAUAAUAAUUUAUUUUCUUGGAUUUUAUAAUACUAAUACUAAUAAUUUAGCUAACGAGAUAAUAUAGACGGGUUUAUAUGGGAUGACGGGUUUGGGUCGAUAUUAAUAAAUAACGGUAUAUCACGGAUGAAAUCCUAAAAUUAACAAUAAAAAUACAAUUAUACAAUCUUAAACACAAAACAAAAGAAACAAUAUUAACAAAAGAAAUCCAACAUAAAUUUAAAAUUUUCAGUUAUAAAAAACCCGACCCACGGUAUACUGCAGAGUAAAAUAUUCAAAAUUUUAAAAUCCACCAUACAUCGUUACUUAAAAAAAAAUGUAUGUUUUCGUAUUUAUACUUAAAAAAUUGAUAAAUAGAUAUCUACAUUUUAAAAUACAAAUUAAUAUGAUAUAUCUUCAGUUAGUCUUUUAAAAAAUAACAUUACAUUUUUUAAAAAAAUAUAGCCCCGCGGUAUACCGCGGGUUAAAUUCUAGUAUGUUACAACAUACAAAAAUUAUAUAGGCUAGCAAUAUAAUCUAAGUUGAGAUCUAUAUAGAAGAUCUCUAAGGAAUAUACUAACAAAUGUGCUAACAACUAGAUUAUUCGAAAGAUAUCGUAUUAUCUCUUCACGCCUCCGCAAGAUGAACGACCGUUAUAGAGUAUAAUUUUGGAAGAAUUCGACUCAAGAAGCGAGCCUGAAAUAGGUUUGAUCAAGGCAUCAACUAGUUGAUCUUUCGACGAAACAUGGCAAACUCGAAGAGAUCCAGCUUGAACAAGCUCCCGUAUGAAAUGAUAGUCUAACGCCAGAUGCUUCAUAAUUGAAUGGAAAACUAGAUUAGCACUCAAAUAAGUGGCGCCAAUGUUGUCACAAUAGAUGACCGGUUGGGUUGUUGACUCGUAGCCGAAGCUACCCAACAAAGCUCUGAAGCUGUGUCUGUAACAUCACGGUACUUCGCUUCUGUCGACGACCGUGCUACCGUCUUUAGCUUCUUCGACGACUAAGACACGGGAUGAGAACCAAGAUAAACAAUGUACGUACGCCCCCGUGGACUGAUAGUUGUCUUUAUCUCCAGCCGAAUCGGUGUUGGAAAACGCUUGAACAGCUACUUCAUUGUCUCCGCGAAGAAAAAUACCUCUGUCCCAUGUUCCCGCAAGAUACCUAAGAAAUCGUUUCACAGCCAUCCAAUGUAAAUCAGUAGGAUAAUGCAUACACAGUGACAGUUUAUUCACCGCAAAUACAAUGUCAAGACGUGUGAAGUGGAGGUAUUGCAAGCUGCCAACAACAAUACGAUAUUAUGACCCUCCUGGAAGAGGUGUACCCGAAUUGAGCUGAAGACGAUCAUUGGUCACCAUUGGAGCGGAGACGGGUUUGGUUGUUGCCAUGUUGGUCCGAUGAAGGAGGUCCGUGAUGUAUUUACGUGGAUUUAACAGCAUCUCAGCAUUCGAUCUUGUUGCCUCUACUCCCAAUAAGUAACUAAUGAGAAUCUACCGCUCAAGACUUCUAUGAACUCUUGUACCUUGGUGGAGUCAUUUAAUUUCCUGUGACGAUAAUAUCAUCAACGUAGACCAAUGUGUAUAUGAGUGUGAUGCCGGCGUGGAAAACGUACAAGGAGGUAUCUGCAAGAGACGAGAGAGAGAGAGACAACCGAGUAGCAAACCCUAAUUUCCCAUGUAUAAUUAUAAUACAUGUAUAUUACCCAUUCGAUGAGACGAGAGAGAGACAACCGAGUAGCAAACCCUAAUCUCCGACAUGCCACCGAAUGUAAGAUCGGUCAUCGCGCAGGUACAUCGGAGAUCUGAUUCUGAUCAUCAAUUUUUGUUUUUCUCUCCCUUUCUUUAUGCGUUUGGAUCUCGCCGCGAUUUCUAUAAUCUCUUUCUUCUUCGAUUGGGUAUUGACGUCAGGUGCAUCAAAAAUCGAGAGCGAUGGGGUCUCGCCGCAAUUUCUGUUCACAUCCAGGUGCCAAUAACCUCUUUUUUCGCUCUAAAAAAAUCCAGAUCGAUGGAGUGACGCCACAAUACCAGAGCGUGGGAUUUCGUCGUUUUUCGCUCUAAUCCUUACUGUUUAUUUCAGUUGCAGAGACGAAUGGAGGCAGGGUAAAAGUUGUCGCCGCUGGCGUCUUGAAGAAGAUUGGUUUUGGUACAUCCAUUGUUCUUGGAUUUUUCAUUGGCUCUGCUUUGGGUAAUUCGAGUUUAUUCGAUUUUGAAAUUAUUAUUCUCUUUUUUUUCUUCUUUCUAUAACAAAUUUGUGAUUGCUUCUUUUUGUAUUUUUUCAUACCUCAGAAUUCAUUGCGCUUGAACCAAUGUUGCUGAAAAGUAUGGAAGAAGAGAAACUCCGGUUAAUUCGUCAUGAGGAACUGGUAUGAAUUUGUUUUCUUUUUUUGGUUUUGAUUAAACAAACAAAUUCUAAACUAGAAUCUACAUCUGUGUGUUUCUCUGAUUUUAGGUAGCUAAGGCGUAUCAUGAUUUUAUGGUUGGACCCGACAAAGAAUGAAUGAAUCCUGAAGAACAGAGUUUGUAUCUUAUUUCUACUCGUUAUUCUGUGUACAACAAAUAAAAACUAUGAUUGCUGUUCACUACACAAUUGAGAUUGAACUUGUCUCUGAUUGUGAUCUCUUGUCAAUGUUAUGAAUUUCGCUUUUGAUGCUGGAUUGGUCAUUCUUUUUCUUGCAAGUACGUAUUUAUGGAUAUUGAUAAUGUUGUGGAGAGCUUUAGCGGGACAGAGAAUUCUAUCCUAUAAUUGGUGUAAUGUGAUUUGUGUAAUUUUUAACAUAAUUUAUGUAUAUAUAGCAUAUGUAUAUAUGCACCAUAUCCCUUACGACAGAUUAACUGUUGUCUCCACCAAUCGACUUGACUAUUCAACACCAUUUUUGUCUCGAAAUUUCCCUGUGAUCGUAUUUUUUUUGUUCUUUAUUUAUAUUGCAGAACUCAGGAUCUAAAAUUUUGAAAAAUUGCAAACAGAUCCCUCUACUUUUACGAACUAUUCGAAUAAGGUCUAGAUUUAUUUCUGUAUCAAUUUUUUCACUUCCAUACUUAAAAAACAUUAUUAUUUUUUGACCCAACAAAAAAAACUAAAAUACUAGGAUAUGUAAAUUAAUGGUUUGUUGUGUUAGUAUAAUCGUUGUAUCCUAAUAUAACUUAAGGAAAAUUUUGGCGUGGCUCUUAUUGUUGUACAGGAUCGAAUGAAUCAACUUGGCUCUUACUUUAAGUGCUGUGAUUUAGACUUUUAUAUUCUGAUUUAGCUUUGUAAGAAAGCUGCAGAUUUUUUUAGAAGAUUCUGGUGUUAAAUGACUAGUGUUUCAGUAUAGAAACUUCUUAAGAAUUUGCACUGUUUCAGGAAAGUAACAAACAGAGAAUACCAAGAAAAGAAAAAGUUAAAAACAAAUCUCAGCAGUUGGAAUAUGGUAAAGGUUACGUGGUUUUGAAGGAAGCCUUUGUCAGAUGACUUCCUCAGCCAUAGCUACAGGGGAAGUGUUGUCGAAAUAUACGAAACUGUAGAUUAUUAUUAUGUAUUGAUUGAGGUUUUAUGGUUGAACAAUGCAGCCAGAGAUACCGUUUCUUCCUGUUUUUGCCUCAAUGAAGCGGCUUGCACGCUACAACCUAGGAUCUGUGGCUCUUGGUUCACUCAUUGUCUCUUUUGUUGAGUCUGUUCGGUUCAUUCUCGAAGCAAUUCGUCGUAGAACAAAAGUAAGCGGGACCACACCUGAUCACUGGUUUUGGAGAAUGGCUCAUUACACUUCACGUGGUUGUCUCAAAAGCGUGGAGUGGACCAUCAAAUCGGUUAACCGUAAUGCCUACAUAAUG
rnacentral:lncRNA from 1 species